ensembl:lncRNA
GGGACCACCUUUCACACCACGCUGCAGCCCUGGUGAUUACUUGACCAGUUCUGCCAAGACAGCAGGACGUGUGGUCGGGCGCAGGGCCCCGUUGGCUCACGUGAUGCAGCUCUCGUCCCCGAUGAGCUGGACCAGGUCUGUAGAGCCGACGGUGUGAUGAUGUCAUCGUGUGGGACAACGUCAGCUUCCACCAUCUCAAACGGUGCAUGUUUUUAUGCACAAGCAUCUACCAGCCUGUAUUUGCCCCCAUGCGCUCCUUUCCUCAACCCGACUGAGGAGCUCUUCUCCUCAUGGAGGUGAAGGUGUACGACAGGUGUCCUCACCAAACAAGCAACCCGUCUCCAGGCCUGGAUGAGGCACGCAGACCAGCGUCACGCCUGGAUGAAGCAAGCGGUUUGGCUAAAGGACACUUCGACGUGGGACAUAGGGCAGCCGGGGGUCGAACCACCAACCUUGUGCUUCCCAGUGUGAUUCCACUGUGUGUACUAUUCUUUCUACUACAGUAGUACUUCUACAGGGAUGUAUUUACAUGUAGUAUGAUGAAACCUGUACUUUGUACAGCAUAUUGAAUGAUUGUCUCGUGUGCAGGAGAUCUGAACACCAAUGAGAGUGCAGAAGGACAUCAAGGCUCUGGAGGUGGUAUCAAAGUGAUCGUGGUUAACGAUGAACAUAGAACCCAUAAAACCAACGUGAAACCAUCUUCAUCAUAAUGAAUAACUACGAAUAAUAAAGCUCAUCAGACGGUUUAAACAGGUUUAAAAGUGCCUCACCUGCUUUAGUUCACCUGCAGGAAAACACCGUCACACUUCCUGGACUGAUCAGUACGGCAGUGUGUGUGUGUGUGUGUGUGUGUAAGAGUCUGUGUGUGUGUGUGU